AUAAAAAAGAAAGAGAGAAAUUUCCUUCAAGGGUUUCAAAUCCCACACCGUCCUCUAACAGGACUCUGAAAAUCCAAUUCAAACCUGUAGAGGAAUCCAAGUCAAUGGGGAUCAACUGACAUAAUUAUUAAAGAAAGAACCAGCCAAAAUCAUGUAAAACCUUUCCUAUUUCUCGCCCUUUCUUCUCUCCAUAGGAUUUCAGUCUCUCCAUUGAACACAAUAUAAAGUUGCAUCCACCUCCCCUUAAUUUCUUCCAUUCCUCUGGGUCUUUUGUACGUUUGAACAAGUCAAGAAAAAACCUUGAUCUUGUCACAUUAAACCCAUGAUAAUUCUUCCAUUCUGUCUCUAUCUUUCUUCCUCUCAAAAAUUUUCUUGGUUUUCUUGAUAUUCGCCGAGAAAUCAAGAAAACCAAGGGAUUUUCGAUCAAUUGAUUGAAAUCCCUUCUUGUUCUUUAGUCCCAUGUGAGAUUUGAUCUGGUUACGUUGAGCCCAAAAUAUUUGUCGAGAUUUCAUUCCUUCCUUUCCCUUAAAGUUAUUCCUGUGGGUGUUCUCUUUGCAAAGAAUUCAAUAAAAUCAAGUGAUUUCUGAGCAAUUCUUGUACCCUUGAAAAUCCUCUUGUUCUUAUUUCCAUAUAUAGAUUUGGCUUUCUGGGUUUUCUCGAUUUGCAAAGAAAGAACUAUCCUUGUACAGAACAAGAAACAACAAGAUAGAUCAAGAUGCCUAUGUGGGUGUUGUCUUUGUAAAGGAAUUCGAGAAAAUCAAGGUAAUUCCGACAAUUCUUGUACCCUUGAAAACCCUUUUUGCUUUUGUUUAAUUUGAUUUUCUGGGUUUUCUCUUUUGCAAAGAAAAAAUUACCCUUGGUCAAUUGAAAGCCCUUUUGGUAUUUAUAUUAGGCUUUUGUAUUGAGUGUGAGGGAUAAAACAAGAAACAACAAGAUAUAGAUCAAGAUGCCUUUGUGGAAGAAGGCGGCCAAGUGCAACCGAAUCUCCAAACUGGUAUCAGACCACAUCCACUCGCCGCACAAGCGCGGCGGAUCCCUGGUGGUCGAGACGGGCUUUCCCACGUCCCUCGUCGAUCUCUUCGUUAAGAACCGUGACCGCUUGAAAAAACCCUCCAAAAAGAAGAAAAAAUCCGACCAGGAAUCGAUUCCUAUACCCAACUCUCCCUUGGUUUCGCCGGUUUCUGAGAAUUCUGAAUUGGGUCUGCCAAGUGUUCGCGUAAAUUUGACCUCAGAGAAAGUUAAUUUGGGUUCAUCGGAUCGGUUUGGCAAUGAAAUUGUUGAGAUUGAGGAGAGGGGUUUGGUGGUUGAAGGUGGAGGUGGAGGUGGGGAUGGGGAUGGGGAUGGGGGUGAAGUUGUGGCGGCGAAUAGCGUUUUGGUGGCGAUUUUGAAGACUUUUUUGGUGGUGAUAUUGGCACUGGGGACAAAGCAGUUUGUGGUUGGGAUUACAAUGUCUGCUUUCUUGCUGCUUUUCAUGGAGUAUGCGGGGAAGCAUUUGGGUUGGUUGCUUAAGCCAUGUUUGGAUUCGCAGAAAUCUUUGGUUGAAAGGGUUGUGUGCCUUUAUGGAAUCAAAGGGGCCAAGUUGGUAGUUAAAGAAGAUAAGGGUUUGAAGGCAUCUGUUUCAGAUGAUCGCUUUCAAGAAAUCCAGCUCGUGCGAUCAAAUUCGAAUUUUUCUGGUUCAUGUGUGAUUGAGGAUCAUAAGGUGAACAAUCCCUUUCAAGAAAUUCAAAUCGAGCAAACUAAUCCCAAUUUGGUUCCUUCAACUAGGGAGAUUCAAAGCAUGGGAUACGAGUUUGAUUUGCAUAGUGGCAAGGAAAAUUGGGUACAUGAAGAAAUUGGCAAAAAAAAGGAAGUUAGGGAGAAAGAUGGGGCAUCUAAUAGUUAUUUUGUGGAUCUUAAAUGCCAAAAGAGUCGGAAAGAAAAUGUCAAGAAGAAGGAAGUUAAGGAGAAAGAUGAGGUCAGUACUUGUGAUGUUGUGGAUCUUAAAAGCUACAGAAGUCGUAGUGGUAGGAUAAGGUCGAAAAUCAAGAAACUCGUUUCAAAUAAGCUUUCUGGUUCAAAGAAGAAACGGAUGUCAUCGAAAAACGAAGCAUCAAGUCCCACUGGUGAUGAUGUAGUUGCAGUUAUGAAUGAAGCAAAAGAACUUUUAGAAGAAGAUGAGCAGCUACGUGGAUUGGAAUACGUAUACGUCUAUGACGACAAAUCAACGUCAUUUUCGAGCAGAGGGAAUUGGGAUCGAGUAGAUUUUGUAACAAGUUGCAGUUCCAGUGAACUUUCCCAGGUUGAAAUGGAAGAUACCGUGACGAGGGAAGAUAUUGGACCGAAGACAGAGAGGAAUUCAGGGUAUUUCACCGUCAUUGUGAUUGUUCUUGUUGGACUUGUAUGGGGUAGGGUUUUCGCGCUUGCUUUUACCUUAUCAUGGUAUUUGCUCCUGAAAUCUGCCGGAACGCUUAUACGGAAGUUUAUAAAAGGUUGCCCUGAUGAGGUCUCAAUCUCUUAAGCUAGAAGAUUGGGGCGUUCAGUUUUUUAUACAUGCCUUACUGUUUCUUGGUCAAUUGAUGAAGGUUCAACCUAUGGUUGGCAAUCCAACAUGAAGAGGUGUUAUUUAUGAACAUAGAUAGACAUGUGACAGUUUGUGA